rnacentral:lncRNA from 1 species
AACACCACGUGGAUGCCACGUUUGCACCACAUAAGGUACCAAACGAUCAUAACACACACCAAACGCACGCUUGUUGCACUUCUCCCACACCCCUGCACACACGCAACACCCCCACCCUAUAGCCACAUGUCUCAUCCUAAUAGAUUGGUCAAAAAAUAAUUACAAAUCUAACUUCUUCCUUACCUUGUAUUGCCCAUUUUAAACCCACUUUCUUCAUCUAAAAUAUUCAUAAUAUCCUCAAAACCCCAAAUAUUAGGCCUGAAUCUCCCCUCACUUAUUCAAUAAUAGAUCUCACCGUCUUCUUUCCCUCUUCAGGCAAGAAUACAGACCCCUUUCACCAUGGAUGAAUUUUGCUUCUCCAUUUUUGUGUAAUGGCUAUGUCAAUCACUUGAAGGACCAAGUCCAUCCAAGCUCACAACUCCCAACGUUUCAAAUUCAAAUGACUGAAAAAGAUCCUUCCCAAAAUCAAGAACCCUAGUUCUUCACCUAUAAAUACUCAAUUUUUUAGUCCAAAAAAAAUUCGGCCACAUAUCCCCUCAUAAAGCUCGCUGUAUAACUUCUGCUUGCAUCUCUCUGUCUCGGCCUUUGGAUUUUAGUCUUGGCGAAGAUUUUUGGCCGGCCAUACACGAUUUCAAUUCUAGGCUCUAAAAUGCCCUAGUUCACUGCUCCACGCAAGGUCAGUAGUUGUCCUCUUAGUUCAUUUUAGUUUCUCAUAUAUUUUGCUUCUACGUGUAUAGCAACAUUUGCUAAUUUCCCUUUUUCUUUUAGUAUUUUGAGCAUAGUAUUGGUAGUCAGGAUAUCUAUUGUCAAAUCUUGAUGCUUUAAAACGUUUCAAGUUGUCAUCUUGCUCUUUUGAUUCUAUUAGAAAUCAUGUGCUAUCACCUUUUUUGCAUUAUUUUUCUGUCGCAAUUACCACUUAGGUCCUAGACACGUGACAAAUCACUGCUUGCCUAGUUUCUAUUUAGUUAUUAAUAAAGCAAAUUUAAGAUGUUAUCCUUCAGUCAUGUAUUGUAUAUUUAUUCAGAAAGAAGCCUUAUUCUAUAUAUUUUAACAUCUUUAGUCCCACGUUAGAGAAUGCAAUUGGAUUUAAAAGUCUUUAUUUGUCUCACGACCAAUGUUUUAUUUCACGUCUGAACUAGUAGUAGGAUAAUGAACUAGGCACUUAAGUUUUUUUUUUUUAGUCAUAAUGUUUAACUGCUAGGAAGGACCAACGUUUUGAAAGUGAUAAAAUGCUCUCAUUUAUAGAUCAGGUGUCAUUUUUUUCACUUUUUGCAAAGAAUGGUAAGCUUGCAAUAGAAUCCAUGGUUAGGCAAUCUAAAGGCGAUGUUGAAACAUUGGUUGGGACUACAAAAAUAAAUCACAGCAUAGGACACUCACUUAUUUAAACUGUUUCACCAUUGUGAAUACUUGCUUCUGGGCAAUUCCUUACCAACCCGCAAAUUCUUAAACAUUAAUUGCAAGCCUUAAUAUACAAGAGCUUUAUACGUUUCGAUUUUGCUUGUUCUUUACCUGUUUGGAAUUUACUUUAAAUAUUUCAUUUGGUAAAGAUACUUGUCAAGUCUCUUGUGUUCUUUCCUCGUAAUGAUAAGGUAGCAAAUACUCUAAGUACCUCCUGGCUUUUUGUACGAAUUUGAAUUUUUUCCUUUUUCCUUUAUAUGUGCAUUUUGAAAUUCCAAUAUUUUCUUUCUCGUAUGAUUGCAAUAUAUAACUAUCUUCAUUACUUAUUCUUUAUUUUCUCCUUUCUUUACAUGUACGUUUUGGAGCAAAUGGAGUCUUAAUCCAAGACUCUAGCUAGUGAAGUCUCAAAAUGAGACGACCUUACCCCUAAUCCGAGCAAGGAGAUAUAUUCUAUACCCUCAAGUCAAAUUCGUUAGCAAUUUAAAGCCUCUUAUGUUCCUUCAAUCUCUAUUUUCUUUGUAUACAUAUGUCAUAUUGUCUUUCAUUACUUUCUUUGGAGCGGGUACAAUGUUGGCUAACCAAGUGGAAUAUUUUGUGACUCAGAUGACGUUGGCAUCGAAUUUCUUGAAGACUCCUUCCUUAACUUUCAAACUAAAAUUAGGCUUCAUCUUUCUCAGCUUUUACUUUAUGAGAGGACAAGAUGGAUCAUUUGGCAACCUAUGAGCAACAAUAUCUAUGCUUAGACCCAUCAUAUCAUCAUAGGACCAUGCAAACACAUAUACCAAUUAAUUCAUUCCUUUGGGAUGGAGUCAAAUGAACGCUAAUCCUUGUUUCUCUUAUGAAAUCUGAAUUCCUUAAGUUUAUCGUCUCAGUUUCAUCCAAAUUUAGUUUUGCCUUAUUUUUAAAAUAUUCAAAUUCCUUGAUCAACUCUUCAGACAUCGUGUCUUCUUCACAUUCUGCAAAGUCUUGUUCGCUAUUUAGAAUUGUUUAGCUUAUUUCGCUACAUGUCACAUUCAUAGUAUUAGCAGAUUUGUUAGUUUGCUUGCUAAAAAGGGAAAAAGAGAAGAUAAAUUAAUAAAGACGAUUUGAAAUGAAAGCAACAAAACAUAGUUUGGAUUUGGCAUUUAAGCUUUCAAAAAUGGAGGCAAAACACAUGAAUUUAUAAACAUGAUUCAGGCUUCAAUUUUGAAUCAUGUUGUAUCAUUCAUACUAAUACAAUCAUCUACCAAGAUUCCCGGAGAUUUAGGGAUGGGGUAUAAGUCCAAUUGUUCAAAGCAUCUCCAGGCUCAGCAUCCCAGAUAGUCAGGGUCUCAAUGCAAUCCUACAGAAUCGCAUUUCACUCAGCUUCUUCUUCAGUAAUGAACAAGCUUUUGACUCCUUCAAUGAGGUCUUCUUCAGCAUAUUCUUCUGAUACUUGGGCAACAAACGCUUUGGAAAAUGAUUGAUUCAGUAGUGGGACAGGCUUUGGCAGGAGAAUGUCACCUAUCCUUUUGAGAUAAUCCAACGAGACUUCUUCAGGAGUAGGCUAAUAUCCAAGACCAAAAAUGCUCGUCUUUCCGAACAAAUGAAUUGGAUCUAGUAUUCUAUCCAAGUUCACGCCAACACCUUGACCAGGCAUAAAACCAUUCUUCAACAUUUCUAUGGCCACCAUCAUAAGUGCCCGUGGCAACUUUAAACUUUUUACCUAAGCAGUACAUAUGAUCUCCUUAACAUGAAAAAUGAAUCCAUCCAACUUUUCCACACGUUCAAUAAUAGGGACUAGUUCUCCUGGUAGAUAGAACUAUUUUUCUCUCUAUGAAUCACAAUAUCAUGAUAAUCCCAAAUAAAUUUUAAAGUUUGGUGCAGGGUAGAAGGGACUGCGCCAGCACUGUGAACCCACAAUCUUCUAAGUAACAAAUUAUAACUAGCACAUAUGUCCAACACUUGAAAUUCCAUAGGUCCAAUUUGUAGUGCCAAAUCAAUUUCUUCAAUGAUUCACCUUUAACCCUCACAUUACUUUCACGAACCUUCCCAAUAUCAAUUUCUAAAGCCCGAAGAGUGGUAAAGGGCAAAUGUUAACAGUUGAGCCAUUGUUAAGAACUUUAGAAAUGAACUUGUUCCUACACUUGACAGUAAUGUUAAAUACUAUAUUGUGCCCCAGUCCCUCAGGUGGCAACUCAUUUUUAUGAAAAGAGACUAUAUUAGCUUCCAGAAAUUGACUCACCAAAGGUGAAAGAUUCUCUCUAGUAAUCUCAGUUGGAGCACAAGCUUUAUUCAACACCUUUACCAGAGCACACUUAUGAGUUACAGAAUUCAUCAAUAAUGACAAUAAGGAGAUUUGGGCAGGAGUUUUAUUUAGCUGUUCCACAACAGAAUACUCCUUAGUUGGCAUUUUCCUCAAGAAAUCCUCUACCUCAGCCUCUGUCAUGGCUUUUUUUUUUUUGAAUAUUCUUUUUACUUGGCACUUCUCUCACGACUCCUUCAGGGACAUAACAACGCCUGGAUCUUAUCAUUCCUACAGCAGUGGCUUCUACAACUAAGUUUUCCUUUCCUCUGUCCCCUGCAUUAGUUGAGUAAUUGUAAGGAACUAUUUUAGUAUCUGAAGGUUUUUAGCAACUAAGGCUGUGAUAGUAGGCCUGUGGCCAAGAAUUUCUACUUCAAUGGGCGCUCGCAUCUGGACUGUAACUAUAGGCGCAAUGAAAGCUGAUGUUUCAAUCUUUUUCUUAUCACUUAUAAAUACCAUAGUUUCUUUCAAAUUACAUUCUUCGUCAAUGGUGAUCAUGUUCACAUGGGCAUCCCCAUGAUUUGGCAAGGGAUUGUUGUUCACAUUGGGGGGAGCCCAUUUGAGCUGAAUAGCUCCUUUGAUUAGUGCCUCAAUACUAUCCUUGAGAGUAAGGCAAUCCUCAAUGUCAUGUCCAGCAACCCCGAAGUGAUAAACACAAUGCUUUGUCCCCUCAUACCAUUGGGAAUUCUACCUUGGAUCGGCUGGAGUACUCAUGCGGCUCUCAAUCUCUUAUAUAGUUGAGAUAAGAGUUCAGCUAGAGGUGUAUAGGUUUUGGUUGGCCUUUUUUCAUAGUUUAGGCAAAGUUUGGGGGAAUUUGGAGGAUGAUUUUAUGGAUGGUAGCGAUUUUAAGGUGUCUAGUUAGGCUAAUAUUAUGGUGGAUUUUGAUAGGUGGGUGCUCCAGAUGGGCAAUAUGCCAGCUGGAUGGUAUAAACUGGAUAUGGGGUAGGUAAAGGUUGGUAAUAUGGAUGAGGAUUUUGGGCAUAUUGAUUAUAGUAGGAAGGAUGGGGUGGCAAAUUUUGGUAUGUUAACAUUUGGUUCGAUUUUUUUUCUUGAAUAGUCAUGACAGCAAAAACUCCACAUUUUUCUGUUUAUUCACUCCCCCAGUUGUAUCAUACUGAAUUGCCUUACUUGUUUCUUGAAAAACUACUAGAGUAGUGAUUCUCCCAGUUUUAAUACCUUCUUCAACGAAUUCUCCUAUCCUAACAACUUUAGAGAAUUUCUGCGCAACCACGCUUAUCAACUUGUCAUAAUAUGUCGCAUCUUUUUAAGACUGCACAAAAAAGAAGUCAUCUCGCUUUCCACCAUCAGAGGUUGAACUUUUGAGGUAUCUACUCUCCACCACAUGCCAUAUUCUUUGAAGGACUUUGUCAAUUUAUUUCCCAUCUUCAUUAGAUGGAACCUAUUCAAUAUACCUUUAGUAUUAACUUGAACCUAUCCAUAAAUUCUUGUGCCAAAGCAUUCCAACCACGCUAUUUCCUUGGAUUUUGUCUCGUGUACCAAUCUAGAUCUUCUCCUAUCAAACUCAUUAUAAACAACUUUAUUCCAAUGGCCUUAUUCUCCCCUACUCCCACUAACUUGUCACAAUAUGACCUUAAAUGAGCUAUAGGAUUCCUUUUUUCAUCAAACAUAUCAAAUUUUGGCACCUUAUACCCUACCAACAACUCAACAUUUGGAUGAACACAUAAAUCUUCAUACUCACGUCCUUCACAUCCUUUCUGUUAUUAGAUGCUUCUAAACGUUUUCUUUAAACCAUGAAUCUCCUUUGCUACAUUUUCAUCUACUUUGGACCUUGCCUCUUUCUCCAUCUCCUCAUAAGGAUCAACUUCUUGCGUGGUUGGCAUCGGGAUAGUAAAAGGUUGAGCUCCCUCUACAUAUAUGUAAUACCCCGCAUGUUUCUAAGUUAGGAAGUGAAUAAGUAUUCCUACGUAUGAAAUCUUCUAUCCUGUGAUUCAUACUUGAGUAUAUGACUUACAAUGAAUAUCUUAGUGAUAUGAUAGCUUAUGAUGCAUUAAGCAUGUUCAUAUGAGUCACUUAAGGUAAUACAAGCUAAGAGUUUUUGAAUCCAUCAAGUUUUAGUGUUUGAUUUUGCAAGGGUCAUCUUUGAACGAGUAUAACUAGAUGUUAAUAUGGUAUUUUGGCUGAUUUAGACCCACCAAAUUGUANNNNNNNNNNNNNNNNNNNNNNNNNNNNNNNNNNNNNNNNNNNNNNNNNNNNNNNNNNNNNNNNNNNNNNNNNNNNNNNNNNNNNNNNNNNNNNNNNNNNNNNNNNNNNNNNNNNNNNNNNNUAGGCGAUUGGUUAGGCGCUGCCCAACGUAGCUUAGGCAAUCACUUGGGCUCCGCCUAAGUUAGUUCAAGGUGCAAAAAACACUCGGUUUUGAGUUAUUUUAUGGGUAAUUAAGUCUUUUAACACUCCUUACACGUCCCUAAACUUAACCCUACGAAAUAUAUAGCUUCUAAACAUAUUACAGACCUAUUAUCAUCUCAAAGCUCAUCAUCCAAGAGCACAAAAAGAGAAAAACAACUGGUGUUGCAUAACUAAGCUUGAAGAUCCGAUUUCAAAGAAAUUGCUCCGUCAAUCAACAAGAAUCUUCUUUCUAAGGUAUGUGUGAGUUGAUUUAUGGAUCUCUUUCAUCCAUAAAGCUCAAAAACCCUCUUUUUCAUUAUGAUUUCUAUAUUGUUGGGUGUUGAUGAUCAUGUUGUUGAUAUUGGGUGAUUCCCAAGAUGGAAUCUUUAUAUGUUUUCAUGAAUUCAUGAUAUCAUAUGAGUUGGAAACAUGUAAAUUUGGUUGUUCAUGAUGUAUAAUUUGAUGAUUUCACCUAUGCUUAAGAUGUGCAUAUAAGGUGUUUGAUAAAAUGCCUAAGAAACUAGAAAUCAUACAAUAUAGAUAAAUUGUGACUAAGUGAAGGAUUCAUGAUAUGCCCUUAUGUUCCAAUGACUCCUAUGUUGAUAAUGUGCCUUGUAAAUGUUGUUGGAAUACUCAUGAACUAUUCUUAUGAGAUUAUGCUAUAUUUACUUGCAAAUCCUACUUAUGAACAAGAUGUAUGAUAACCAUGCAAUCCACAUGAACUUUCAUGCUAUUGGUAUGUGUUGCCAAUAUGAUUAUGCAAUGAACAUGAUAUUAAGAUUGUGCAAGUACUUCCAUAUGAUAUGAAAUUCUUUCCAUGUAUGAUUCCAUAGACUUCAGUCAGUCAUGUGACUCAGGAAAAUCUCAUGAUCUUAGUCAGUUGUCAGAUAUCAGUAACAUUCCUCCAGUCAAUGGAAUUCAGAAAGAUUAACUCAUGCGCAGUCAGUUAUUCAUGUCCAGUCCCUCCAGAUAGGAGUAGAGGUUCGCAUCGAGUGAACCCAAAGAUGGGAACUCACCCGUCAGUUCAGGGUGUGAUUCUUAGUAGUCAUCUUUGUGUUCCAGAACUACGUAGCCAGCAUUGGUUAAGACAUCUUAAUCCAUCAGAUUAAGGUUGACGAGGUGGCUUAACCCGUCAGUUUAGGGUUCCCACCAUUCUGAUUGAGUACCCGCCAGAUAAGGGUCACUCACAGGCUGUCCUUACCCAUGGCACGGUAUUGACACCCCUCCAGUCGGGGCAGAGAUUGGACCCCAGCUUAGCCAAAACGACAUACAUGGGUCAUGUCGGUUAAACACUACUUCCCACAAUUUCAGUAUUAGUCUCAGUAAAAAAACUCAGGGCGUUCUUCAGAUUUCAGUAUAUACAGGACUGUUAGAUACAGUCGUCCAUGUUAUCAGUUUUAGUAUCAGUCGUGACAGUUAUCAGUAAACCAUGUAUUAGCUUACAGGUCAUGCUAUCACGUAUUCACGAUCCCAGUUUCUAUAUAUGUGUGUUUGAACUCCCACAUUCAUAUUAGUUAGUCAGUGUUGUUCAUUCAUGAAACCCUUUAUGUUCAGCCUACCUUCCUCGUAUACUCAGUACGCCAAAUAAUUGAGAUUAUUAUAAAUCGAUCCAAGCCAUUAAUUCGGGACAAGCUUUGAGUUUGAAAAUAAUAAACAAGUUUCAUUUGAAUACUAAUCGAGUACAAUGAUAAGAAAUAAUAAGAUAUGCUAAUUAUUUAUAAGAAGAUGAGAAAACUUUAGAAGAACCUCGCCAUAAAAAUCUAGUUUUCAAAAUUAUCAAAGACAAUUUUUAUAAGACCUCGUAGAAGUGAUGCAACCUUAUUUUUUUGGUCAAAAGUGAGUUAUUUAAAAUCUUUCUAGGAAGUUAUUAGGUUUCAUUGUAAGUAGGAAAGACAUAGAAUUAGAUCUUUUAAAAGUAAAGGUUAUCCAAGACUUGUCUCUUCCAAGAAAUCAAAAGGACAUGAUGAGUUUCCUAGGUUGGCUCAAUUACAUCAGUCGAUUUAUUGCACAAUCUACGGUGAUUUAUGAAUCUAUAUUCAAGAUGUUGAGAAAGGGCACUGCUACUAGGUGGACAGAAGAUUGCAUGCAGGCUUUUGACAGAAUCAAGGAGUAUUUGUCUAAUCCGCCCGCUUUAGUACCUCAGAACCCGAAAGGCCAUUGUUGCCUAUAUUUGUCUGCGUCAGACAAGCCAUUUGGGUGUGUUUUAGGACAACAUGAUGAAUCCAGAAAGAAAGAGCAAGCUAUAUAUUACUUUAGCAAGAAGUUCACACUUUAUGAAGCAUGGUAUACAUUAUUGGAGCAUACAUGUUGUGCCUUGACUGGGAUUGCACAAAAGUUAAGGCAUUACAUGUAUGCAUAUACUACUUUUCUAAUUUCUAAAAUGGAUCCGCUCAGGUAUAUCUUUUAGAAGCCCAUGCCUAUCGGGAAGAUAGUAAAGUGACAAAUUUUGCUAAGUGAAUUUGACAUUGUCUACGUUACUCAAAAGGCUGUCAAAGGACAAGCUUUAGCCGAUCAUCUUGCUGAAAACCCUAUAGAUGAAGAGUGCCAGCCUCUUAAAACUUAUUUCCCAGGUGGAAAAGUUUUAUUUAUUAGAGAAGAUAUAUCACAGGAAUAUCCAAGCUGGAGAAUGUUCUAUGAUGGGGCUGCAAACUUUAAAGGAAUUAGUAUUGGGAAGUAUUAAUUUCAAAAUUGGGCUAGCAUUACCCAAUCUCAGUAAAGCUAAGGUUUCCAUGCACUAACAAUAUGGUAGAGUAUGAGGCUUGCAUUUUCGAUCUUAGAAUGACUGUUGAUAUGAACAUACAAGAACUCUUGGUUAUAGCGGAUUCAGAUUUAGUGGUGCAUCAAGUACAAGGUGAAUGGAGUGUCAAGAACGUAAAGUUGCUUCCAUAUUUGGAGUGUGUGAAAGAGUUGCGCAAAAAGUUCAUCAAGAUUGAAUUUUAACGUAUCCCGAAAACUCCAAAAUAAGUUAGCAGAUGCAUUACGACCUUAUCAUCUAUGAUUCAACAUCUAGACAAGAAUUUCAUAAAUCCUAUCAAGAUAAAUAUACAAGACCAAUUGACCUCCUUGGCUAGCGCACUACUAUGACAUUAAGAGGUAUCUCAAGAAAGGAGACUAUGCAUAAGGCAUAAUUAGUAUUCAGAAGAGAACACUCCGGAGAUUGGAAAAUCACUUUUUCCUAAAUGGAGAAAUACUUUAUAGGAGGACCCCACAUUUAGGAUUGUUAAGGUAUGUCGACGCUCAAGAGGCGAACAGGUUAGUCGAAGAAAUAUAUGGGGGCAUAUGUGGCCACAUAUGAAUGGUUUUGUUUUGGCAAAGAAGAUUCUUUGGGCUGGUUAUUUUUGGAUGACAAUGGAAACAGAUUGAAUUCACUUUUUGCAAAGAUGACAUCCAUGUCAGAUUAUAGUGAUUUGAUUUACGUUCCACCAAAUAAACCUAAUGUGAUGAGUUCUCCCUAACCGUUUGCAGCCCGGGGCAUGGAUAUCAUCGAUCCUAUUGAGCCAGUUGUAUCAAAUGGACAUAGAUUUAUUUUGGUAACUAAUGAUUAUUUCACUAAAUGGGUAGAAGCUUCUUCGUACAAGUCUAUAACAAAAUAAGUUGGUGAUAGAUUUUGUUUGCAAUAACAUUAUUUGUCGCUUUGGAGUUCUGGAGUCAAUUAUAACAGAUAAUGGAUCUAAUCUCAAUAGUGUCUUGAUGCAUGAGAUAUGUGAGAAGUUUAGGAUUAUUUAUCGUAAUUCCACUGCUUACCGUCUUCAGAUGAAUAGAGCUGUUGAGGCUGCCAACAAGAACAUUAAAUGGAUAUUGCGGAAAAUGUUUGAUAACUAUAAGCAUUGACAUGAGCAUUUUUCAUUUGCCCUCCUUGGCUAGCGCACUACUAUUAGGACUUCUAUUGGAGCAACACUUUAUCUUUUGAUUUAUGGAAUAAAAGUUGUAUUGCCCUCCGAAGUGGAGAUACCAUCUUUAAGAAUCAUUCAGGAAGCAGAAUUGACUGAUGCCAAGUGGAUUCAAAAUUGGUAUAAACAAUUGAUGCUAAUUAAUGAAAAGUGGAUGAACGCAGAUUGUCAUAGCAACUUUAUCAAAAUAGAAUGGCCAAAGCUUUCAACAAGAAUGUAAGAUCGAGAUAAUUCAAACUGGGACAAUUGGUAUUGAAGUGCAUAUUUUCACACCAAAAUGAAGCUAAGGGUAAUUUUGCACCUAACUGGCAAUGGCCUUACAUGGUUCAUCGAAUACUGACCGCCGGAGCAUUGAUCCUAGCAGAAAUGGAUGGUGAAGUGUAGACGAAAGCCAUUAAUGCAGAUGUUGUUAAGAGAUACUAUGUCUAGAAGCAUUUAUUUAUUUUUGUAAUGUUCUUCUUUUCUUUCAAUGUAAUGAAACUACGAAUGACCUAGUUCCUUCGGGAGAAUACGUAGGAAACUAACGUUGGGUUUGGUCUCUUAGUAGAAAUUUUCAAAAAUCCCUCUUUUCUUGUAAUGCGAACUGCGGUUCACCUGACUUCCUAGGCGGAUAUGUAGGCGGCCACAUAGGUCUCGGUCACAUUAGAAUUUUUUUUCAAAUUUCUCCUUUUUAUUUCGUAUGUAAUGAACUGUGUUCGACCUGAUUUCUGUGGGAUACGUAGGCAACCCACAGAGGGUUCGGCCCUUUAGUUUUAAAUUUUCUUAAGUGUAUUUCAUGAAUUACGCUCAGCUUGAUUCCCUUGUCGGGAUACGUAGGUAGCCUAUGCAAGACUCGGUCUCAUCAUUACGGAAUGCAAUAUUUCUCUCAAGUCAAAACUGGGACAGUUUUUAAGGGCAUCAUUUCAAGAAAACGGUUGGGAAAAUAUCAAGAGAUAUUGAAGAAUGUGGGUUCAUCCAAGUAAUUGAAGGAAAAAAUAGAUAUUCGCUUGGGAUAAAGGAUGUUCGCAUUGUUUCACAAUUCAAAAGUUUGACAGAAUUUUUUAACAACUAUGCAUAUUUUAUUUACCAAGUUAUUUAUCACUCUUGUUUAUAUUUUAUUUUUAACAAUUUUCAAUCAAACUUUCUUUUUUAUAAUCUCACUUUAAUUUAUUUGGAACUAUGCAUGACUUUCAUUUUCUUCUAUGGCAACACACAAUUGCUUUCAAGUGCAUCAAAGAAAGGCUAUAUAGAAAUUCACUGCUUGCAAAAGUUAUUUUUUCAUAAAUUAUUGGCUUAGGAAAAAGUCUUCAUCCAUCAAUCAUUUCGCUGAAAAUGCCCCAUCUUCAUAACUUACUUGGUUUAAGGCCUCAUUUUCAUCGCUGAAAGACAUCAUUCUCAUGAAUCAUCGACCUAAACUUCAUUUUUUAUAAUCUUUGUUUCCAGCUUGAAAGACCGUAUUUGCAUAAACUAACGCCCGAGAGGCGUUAUUUUCAUUAAUUCACUAUAAAUGCAUUUACUAUUUAUGUACUAAUUUCUUUAUCUAGUUUAGAUUUUGCAGGAGUUUUAGCACAAACGUGGAGCUAUUUCUUAGCAGUGAACUAGGGUAAUUUGUUGGAAACGAGGAUCAGACUCCCAAAAAUUAUCAAGAGUCUAGCUCGAACUUUACUUGGCCCUACUUUCAAAUAUCUUACUUACAUCUAUACCUUGAUGAUCAAGUUCUCUCACUUCUAUAUUCUAUUUUCCUGAAUCAUCAUUUUUAGUGUCAUCAUAUUUCGACACUGGGACAAUCUUCUUAAGCUUGUGUCUACCCUUUUUCUAAUCUACAAGAAUUAAAAAUCUUGAACUACAUAUGACCUCAUUCUCAUGCAACCUGAGAUAUGUUGGCAGCUCGGAGAUCGGAGUUCAAUAACAAUCUUCCCUAACAUUCUCCAUACAUAUCCUCCUAGACCCUAUCAGCUGGGAUAAAAUUAGGUUACUAGUCAACUUCUUUAUCUGAAAAAUCUUUCAUCAUUUUUGAAUAAUUAGGGACAAAUGUUGAUACUCAAUUUUGCCCCGUCUUUUUUCAAGUCAUGUCUUUAAACUUCUAAUAAUUUUGGUAACUUAAAAAAUACAUGAGUGUAAUUUCUAUAAUUAGGAGUUCAUACCAGUCUUGCCACCAUUUAUAUUUUUUAAUUAAGAAUCAUCAAAAAUAUUAUUAUUAUUAUUAUCAUUAUUAUUUUUAUUAAUAUUUGUUACUAUUUUUAUUAUAUUUUUAUCGUCACAUUCCCUAUAAACUACCGCGUAAGGCAUUAUAUUUAUUUAAUCGAAUGAAGUAUUUUUGUGAUUUUAUAAUUUAUAAAUACUAUCGUUCAAUUUCAAAUUUAUCAUGCAACUUUGUUUCGAUACUUAUAUUUUAAUCUCGAAUGAUCUUUUAUUUAUUCGAAUAUUUUUAAAUAUGUUUUAUUAAAAAUGUUAUUUUAUGUUAAUUUAGAAGCCCAAAUAAUAUAAAAAAGAAAGUGUUUUAAAUCAGCCCAUGUUGCAAUAUUCAUGCAAUUCUGGCUCAAAUUCAGGCAUGAUCCACUAAAGCCCACCUUUUAUCUCCCUUCUUAUACCUCAGCACCACGUGGAUGCUAUGUUUGCGUCACAUAAGGCGCCAAACGGUCAUAACACACAUUAAACACACACUUGUUGCACUUCUCCCUCACCCUUGCACACACUCAGCACCCCCCCUCUUGCCGCAUGUCUCAUCCCAAAAGGUUGGUCAAAAAACAAUUGCAAAUUCAACUUCUUCCUUACCUUAAAUUGCCUAUUUUAACCCUACUUCCUUCACCUAGCAGUCUGUUUGGAUGGUGGUUUCCCAUGGUAUGGUUACCAUGGGAACCAUGUUUUUUUGAUUGUUUGCUAAAAGAAAUGGUAUGAUAUGAUAUUUUUCCAUGAUUUGAUAACCAUGGAAUCCAUCAAUUUCUUGAACCACCAAUUUGGUGGUAUGCUAUGGUUUUUUUUUUCCAACUNNNNNNNNNNNNNNNNNNNNNNNNNNNNNNNNNNNNNNNNNNNNNNNNNNNNNNNNNNNNNNNNNNNNNNNNNNNNNNNNNNNNNNNNNNNNNNNNNNNNNNNNNNNNNNNNNNNNNNNNNNNNNNNNNNNNNNNNNNNNNNNNNNNNNNNNNNNNNNNNNNNNNNNNNNNNNNNNNNNNNNNNNNNNNNNNNNNNNNNNNNNNNNNNNNNNNNNNNNNNNNNNNNNNUAUAUAUUUUAAUCCUAUUUGACCCUUAUCAACAAAAUACAUGCUAACUCCUAACAGCUGAUUGAUUUAAAAAACUUUUGUCAACAAAAUUCAAAAAAACCUCAAUUCAAAUAAAAAACAACUGAUUAAAAAAAAACUUUAUCAAAAAAGAAUUAGGAAAAAAAAUCCAAUCUUUACUUGUAAAACAACAUUCAAGAAAUAAUAAUUUCCAAGAUUUUACAAUCGGGGAAUUACCAAAUAAUUUGUUGAGCUAUUACUAAUUUAUUCCAAACUAUUACAGUUUCGCUAGCAAACCUGCCAUCUUGCUUGCAAGUUAACGUGGAGUCUUACACCAGCUAUUGCAGAUGUAACAAGAAUGAAGGUGAGGAAAAGGUUUUAGUUAUUCUUCAAGUCGUUUCUAUGAAUAUAUCAUCCUUUGGCAUAGUUUUUCACUGUACUUGUUUUUAAAAAUCUGUAUUGUUCACAGAUUCUUUCAAGUGAAACUGAUGGAUACCCAAUUUAUUAAUAAUUAGGGGUAUUUUCAUAAAUUUACCUGUUAUCAUACAGUAUCAUACCAUCAAACCAAACAAAAAAACUAUUAUUAAACCAUAGUGAACGAUACAGUCUAUCCAAAUAUGGUAUUAUAUCAUAUUGUAUUAUACCAUACCAUACCAUACUAUACCAUACAUUAUGAAACCAUGGCAAACCACCAUCCAAACAAAGGCUAAAAUGCUCAUAAUACACUAAACCCUAAAAAUUAGGCCUGAAUCUCCCACCUCUCCUAUUGAAUACACGACUUCUCUUCCAAAUAGAACUCAACGUCUUCUUUCCCUCUUCAAACAACAGUACAGACCCCUUUCACCAUGGAUGAAUUUUGCUUCUCCAUUGUUGUGUAAUGGCUAUGUCAACCACGCGAAGGACCAAGUCCAUCCAAGCUCACAACUCCCAAUAUUUCAAAUUCAAAUGAUUGAAAAUAUAUAAUGAUUGUUGUGUAAUGGCUAUCCCAAUAUUAAUUCUAAUAUAUAAAUGAUUUAUAAUAAUUAAUUAGGGGUAAUAUAGUAAAUUAUGGAGCAAUUAGGGGUAAUAUAUGCAGACAUGUCAUCUAUUUUUAAUUAAAUAUUAUUAAUUUUUUAAUACAUAAAUGACNNNNNNNNNNNNNNNNNNNNNNNNNNNNNNNNNNNNNNNNNNNNNNNNNNNNNNNNNNNNNNNNNNNNNNNNNNNNNNNNNNNNNNNNNNNNNNNNNNNNNNNNNNNNNNNNNNNNNNNNNNNNNNNNNNNNNNNNNNNNNNNNNNNNNNNNNNNNNNNNNNNNNNNNNNNNNNNNNNNNNNNNNNNNNNNNNNNNNNNNNNNNNNNNNNNNNNNNNNNNNNNNNNNNNNNNNNNNNNNNNNNNNNNNNNNNNNNNNNNNNNNNNNNNNNNNNNNNNNNNNNNNNNNNNNNNNNNNNNNNNNNNNNNNNNNNNNNNNNNNNNNNNNNNNNNNNNNNNNNNNNNNNNNNNNNNNNNNNNNNNNNNNNNNNNNNNNNNNNNNNNNNNNNNNNNNNNNNNNNNNNNNNNNNNNNNNNNNNNNNNNNNNNNNNNNNNNNNNNNNNNNNNNNACUUGUAAUAAUUAAUUAGAAAUAAUAUAAUAAAUCACAGAACAAUUAUGGUAUAAUAUAGUAAAUAAUUGAGGUAAAAAAGUAAAUCCACAAAGAGCUGGUCGAAAUCAGCUCUUCUAUAUAAUAGAAAAGAGAAGAAAAGAAAAUCAUGUGCAAUCACCUUUUUUGCAUUAUUUUUCUGUCGCAAUUACCACUUAGGCCCUUGACACGGGACAAAUCACUGCUUAGUUUCUAUUUAGUUAUUAAUAAAGCAAAUUUAAGAUGUUAUCCUUCAGUCAUGUAUUGUAUAUUUAUUCAGAAAGAAGUCUUAUUCUAUAUAAUUUAACAUCUUUAGUCCCACGUUAGAGAAUGCAAUUGGAUUUAAAAGUCUUUAUUUGUCUCACGAACAAUGUUUUAUUUCACGUCUGAACUAGUAGUAGGAUAAUGAACUAGGCACUUAAGUUUUUUUUUUCAGUCAUAAUGUUUAACUGCUAGGAAGGACCAACGUUUUGAAAGUGAUAAAAUGCUCUCAUUUAUAGAUCAGGUGUUGUCAUUUUUUUCACUUUUUGCAAAGAAUGGUAAGCUUGCAAUAGAAUCCAUGGUUAGGCAAUCUAAAGGCGAUGUGAAACAUUGGUUGGGACUACAAAAAUAAAUCACAGCAUAGGACACCAACGUUUUGAAAGUGAUAAAAUGCUCUCAUUUAUAGAUCAGGUGUUGUCAUUUUUUUCACUUUUUGCAAAGAAUGGUAAGCUUGCAAUAGAAUCCAUGGUUAGGCAAUCUAAAGGCGAUGUGAAACAUUGGUUGGGACUACAAAAAUAAAUCACAGCAUAGGACACUCACUUAUUUAAACUGUUUCAGCACUGUGAAUACUUGCUUCCGGGCAAUUCCUUACCAACCCGCAAAUUCUUAAACAUUAAUUGCAAGCCUUAAUAUACUAGAGCUUUAUACGUUUCGAUUUUGCUUGUUCUUUACCUGUUUGGAAUUUACUUUAAAUAUUUCAUUUGGUAAAGAUACUUGUCAAGUCUCUUGUGUUCUUUCCUCGUAAUGAUAAGGUAGCAAAUACUCUAAGUACCUCCUGGCUUUUUGUACGAAUUUGAAUUUUUUCCUUUUUCCUUUAUAUGUGCAUUUUGAAAUUCCAACAUUUUCUUUCUCGUAUGAUUGCAAUAUAUAACUAUCUUCAUUACUUAUUCUUUAUUUUCUCCUUUCUUUACAUGUACGUUUUGGAGCAAAUGGAGUCUUAAUCCAAGACUCUAGCUAGUGAAGUCUCAAAAUGAGACGACCUUACCCCUCAUCCGAGCAAGGAGAUAUAUUCUAUACCCUCAAGUCAAAUUCGUUAGCAAUUUAAAGCCUCUUAUGUUCCUUCAAUCUCUAUUUUCUUUGUAUACAUAUGUCAUAUUGUCUUUCAUUACUUUACUUUUUUUGCACAUUAUCAUUUAGAAUUGUUGUCUUGAUUGCUUAUGAUUGAACUAGUAUAAGCUUAUUAAAAUGGAUGACAAAUUUGUGUAUUAUCCUCCCCCACCCUAUGUUUAAGAUAGUGAUUUCGAACUAAUCACUUCGCUUAGGCGUAUGACUAGUAUAGUUAAAGGUAAAAAUUUGACAGGUAAAAAAAAAUAUCUUAUAGAGUUAAUGGCCUAGCUGUUAGAAAACCAUUUCCUUUAGAUUCAAGUUAGUCUGUUACUAACUAGUAAUGUGAGAUUAAUAUAAAAAAAAUUGCACUAGAUUGGCUUAUCACUACUAGACUCAAAAAUCGACUUUAAUUAUUUUAGAUAUGGUAAAUCAACUCCCUUUUCUCAUCAAUUUCAAAAUUGAUUUCAUGAGGCUUUUUCUUAAGAUUUCAAAAGACAAAAGAUAUUUGUUUAAAACAUAAUCCCUUUUCUAAAUAAAAAUAAACAAAUUAUCAAGUCGUUAUGGAUUCAAAACAUUUAUUUUACAGUUGUUUCUUAAUGAUUCAUUUAGAGUUGGUAAUUAACUAUCCUAUUUACUCCCAUUUUAAUAAAUUUGACUAAACAGGAAAAGCAAAAGAGUCUUUUUUUUUUAAUUAAAAAAAAUGUGAAGUUCUUUACAUUAUUACCUCUUUUAAUUAUUAAUUUGAAGCUUUUGUAAAAAUAAAAAUGAUUUAAAUAACUCACUUUUGACAAAAAAUAAGGUUGCAUCACUUCUAAGAGGUCUUAUAAAAAUUGUCUUUGAAAAUUUUGGAAACUAGAUUUUUAUGGCGAGGUUCUUCUAAAGUUUUCUCAUCUUCUUUUAAAUAAUUAGCAUAUAUUAUUUCAUAAAAGACAAAAUAUUUUUUAAGUCUUAUCUGUAUCCUUCGUAAUGAUUUUUUUUUAAAAUUUCUUUAUCAACCUAAGUUUGGCCGGUCAACCGUUGUUAGAAGAUUCUAUAGGAUGCCUAACCCCUUCUCUUUAGGAUAAUUAGAACUCUUACCUAGAAUCAUUUUAGUUAAGAAGACCUUAAAAGGAAUUCUUUUAAUUAUUUAGUUUAUAUAGGUGUUCUAAUUCACUGUAGAACUAAUUAGGUGGCAACUUUCUUAUUUACAUAGAAGUUUUUCAACAUGUUGUACACUAUUUUGACCUCGUGUUAAAAUGGUGUAAGGCCCCAUAAGAUUCAAUAUUCGUUUCAGCUCCUUCUUGCAUAUAGAAAGGGGUCCAGGACUUAGAAUAUUUUACUAAGUGUAGGACUUAGUCAUUUCUAGGGCCUUCAAACUUUGGUGAAUUUUAAUUCGACCUCCUCGGGCUGAAAACACCAAUUUCUAAGUAGAUUCGUGAUCAAGGUCACUCAUAGGUCAUCUCGAGUGAGUUUCAUAUUUUUUGGACUAGUGUAAGGGUGAGUUUGGAUGUCUAAAACAGCAAGGGGUAGCGAUAGGGCCGCAUCGUGAGGGCCAGUUGACCCAGGCUGAGGGUCACACCGCGAGGGCUUCUUGACCCCAGCAAGGGUCGCACCACGGGGGCCGCUUGACCCAAGCAGGGGUCGCGGUGCGAUGGGGACCCCGUCCAGUAAUUUUUAUCCGAGUUUAUGGGGGAAAAUGGGUCAUUUUCCCUUACAUUAUUUAGCCUUAACACGAAAUCAAGCCUCCUAAAGGGAAAACUUACUCAUUAUUUGACAAAAUUCUCUCAAGGGAUUCCCUAGGUUCAUCAAAUUCAAGUCCAAGCCUCAAGAGUUCACCAUCAAUUCUCACGAAUUCAGAAAUCAAGGUAUGUUAGGUGUUCAUCCUUGGAUUUCCUUCCACCCUUGAAGUUCAAGAACCUUUUUUAAAACUUAAAUUAUGAUUCCCAUGUUAUAAAUUGAAUUAUGUUUAUGUUUAUAUAUUUGUAUGGGUUGCAAUUCAAGAUUUAAUUGUAAGUUUCAUGAAUAUGAGAUAGUAUGUAUGUGAUUGAUGUAAUUCCCAUGUCAAAACCCUUGAAUUGUGCAUUGGUUAUUGUAGUCAUGAUGUAUUAGCAUGUUGUUUAUGCCCAAGUACAAGUUAUGACUCCUAAGUGUUUGAAAAAAUCCCUAAGUGAAUUAGUUGUGCAUUUGUGAUCCAUUGGUGAUCUUUGUACUGAGCUCCUGCUGUUACUACAUGUUUAAACUACUUCCAUGUUAAACCUAUGCCUUACAAGUGUUUGAUAGAAUGUCCAUGCGAAUUGAAUAGUGUAAUUAUGACAUGUUAGUAAGUGUUCUCAUUCAUGUACAAGUUCAUGACUUUCAAGUAUCUGACAAAAUGUCUCAGUGAUUGCGUUGUGAAUAAUUGACUAUUGUUAUGUUUUUCAAGAAUUAUUAUGUCUUAUUAUUAUUGAUGUUAUCGAUUUUUUUAAGGUUAUUUAUUACCCAAAAUCUAGCUGUUUACCUAGUUACAAUAGCUAUAGAAUAGUCCUAGUGAGCGUCAAGAACAGUAGUACUCAGUCAGGUAACAAAACUCAGUAAACUCAGUCCAGUACAGUCAGUCAACACGAUCAGUGUUAGUUCAGCCAAGCCUAGUACAAUCUAGUGAUCAGUUUAAUGUUCAUUUAGAUGGGAGUAGGAUUCAGCACCGAGUGAACCCAGGAAUGGGGGUAUUCCUGCCAGCAGAGAGUUUGACCCUUAGUAGCAGUCUCUGUGUUACAGAACUACAUAGCCAGCGUAGGGUAAGUCGACCUCCUGCACGGUUAGGGCUGACGCAAUCAUAUAUAUAUAUAUAUAUAUAUUUCAUGAGUCUUUCUGCCAAAUUAAGGUUGACCCAGCUUUGUUAGUAUCCCGUGGCAAGGUGCUAACACCCUUCCAAUUGAGGUUAGAGGUUGGACCUUAAAUCAGUCUAUAUCGGGGUAUAUCAGUUAGAUGAACUCUUCCACAAUUAUAGUUUUAGUCUCAGUAUUCAGUAAAGAACUCAGAAAGUUCUGCAGAACAAUGGCUAUCAGUUAUCAACUAUCAGUUAUCAGUUAUAUAGCCAUCAAAAUUCAAUAUUCAGUUUCAGUAUAAAUCUCAAAUAUAUGAUGUAUAAUUAUAUAUACAAUAUCACAUGUUCAGUAUGUUCAACAGUUACAAUAUUGUAUGUAUACGCAUUUUGUUACUUUAUGAUGUUCAUUUAGUCAGUUAUCAUCUCAUGCAUAAAAACCCAUGUAUCAUCAGACUACCUCACUUAGCAUACCAGUAUAAUCCAUGUACUAACGUAUACUUUUUAUUUAUGCUAUGAUGUCUCAUAUCAUAGGUUCAGACGCAUGAGUUCCUAAUCAUACUUAGGAACUCAGGGUAUCAGCAACAGUCAUAAUAGUACGUCCUCAUCCAGCGAGGAUAUCAUUUUAUGUUAUUAUCAGUACACUCAAUUAUUGUUUCAGUAUUUUGAGAACUUUAUGGCAUUUUUAGAUUUCUUAUGCACACUCAAUUAUUGUAGUCCUUCAGGAUCAUAAGCAUCGUGUGACGUCCAGGGUGCAGACUCGGGGCGUUACAAACUUGGUAUCAGAGCCUAAGGUUCUAAGGAGUCCUAGGAAGUCUGAAAGCCACGUCAAGUAGAGUUUUGUGCAUG